UCAGGAAAAAGAAGCUAUAGAAC
rnacentral:piRNA from 1 species